UACAGGCUCAAGCUAUGCUCGGUGUUAACCCAGUCUCCUGCUGCCAUGGAUCAAGAUGUGGAACUCUCAGCUCCUUCUCUAACACUAUGUCUGGCUGCACACUACCAUGAUGAAAAUGGAAUGAACCUCUGAAACCAGGGUUAGAGACCAUGGCUGUCACAGUGGGGACCAUCAUGGCUGCAGGCAAGCAAGCAGGCACGGAGUUGGAGCAGGAGCCUCGGGCUCACAUCUAGAGACAACAAUGAUGGGGCAGAGGCAGCACCAGCGGUUUUCCCUCUCCUAAUGCAGUCUCUCAUGUGUGCGGUGUUUGCAGACACUGGGUGGGAUUGCAAAGCCUGGAGGAAGAUGAAGCAAUGAAGUGUCAGGCAGGUGGUUGUCAUUGGUGAAAGCUGGCCUGAUCCUACAGUUAUGCAAUCUGAAGUAAGUGCACCCUAGUCACCUCACGUAUCCCAGUCUCUACUGAGGUACACGGAACCACCACCGUUCUAUCUGAAUGCACCCCCCCCCCCGCAUCGUGGGGACACCCGAAUCGUCCCACUUGGUAGACCAACAGUCAUGGAUCUAUCUCUAAAGUAGAAUCAGAUAUACUUCUAAACCCUGGGUUCUCCUGUGACAUCU